rnacentral:rRNA from 1 species
AUUGAACGCUGGCGGCAGGCCUAACACAUGCAAGUCGAGCGCGCGGCGGACGGGUGAGUAAUGUAUGGGAAAAUGCCUGUUGGAGGGGGAUAACUACUGGAAACGGUAGCUAAUACCCCAUACUAUCAGAUGUGCCCAGAUGGGAGUAGCUAGUGGGUGGGGUAACGGCUCACCUAGGCGACGAUCCCUAGCUGGUCUGAGAGGAUGUCCAGCCACACUGGAACUGAGACACGGUCCAGACUCCUACGGGAGGAAGCAGAGGGGAAUAUUGCACAAUGGGCGCAAGCCUGAUGCAGCCAUGCCGCGUGUGUGAAGAAGGCCUUCGGGUUGUAAAGCACGUUCAGCGGGGAGGCGUUACCCGCAGAAGAAGCACCGGCUAACUCCGUGCCAGCAGCCGCGGUAAUUC